AGUGAACGCUGGCGGUAGGCCUAACACAUGCAAGUCGAACGGCAGCACAGUAAGAGCUUGCUCUUACGGGUGGCGAGUGGCGGACGGGUGAGGAAUACAUCGGAAUCUACUUUUUCGUGGGAGAUAACGUAGGGAAACUUACGCUAAUACCGCAUACGACCUACCGGUGAAAGCAGUGGAUCUUCGGACCUUGCGCGAUUGAAUGAGCCGAUGUCGGAUUAGCUAGUUGGCGGGGUAAAGGCCCACCAAGGCGACGAUACGUAGCGGGUCUGAGAGGAUGAUCGGCCGCACUGGAACUGAGCCACGGACAAGAGUCCUACGGGAGGCAGCAGUGGGGAAUAUUGGACAAUGGUGGCAAACCUGAUCCAGCGAUACCGCGUGGGUGAAAAAGACCUUCGGGUUGUAAAGCCCUUUUGUUGGGAAAGAAAAGCAGCAGGUUAAUACCCAGCGGUUCUGACGGUACCGAAAGAAUAAGCACCGGCUAACUUCGUG
rnacentral:rRNA from 1 species